CUUGUACUCCCUCCGUCCGAAAAUACUUGUCAUUGAAAUGGAUGUAUCUAGAUGUAUUUUAGUUCUAGACACAUCCAUUUUGAUGACAAGUAAUUCUGGAUGGAGGGAGUACUUG
rfam:Triticum aestivum genome assembly, contig: Triticum_aestivum_CS42_TGACv1_scaffold_000955_1AL